CGACAGUCAUGAUUGCAGUCGUUUUUGACAUGUACGUACGCUUCGGUGACACAAGCGUCCGAACAAGCGCUUUUCAGCGAGAUCGUGGGUUCGUGCUGACACUUAAGACUAGUUUCCAUUUGCGGUCGUUAGUUGUCGCUGGCACGACAAGCGGUAGAUGUGAAAUAGUCUAAUAUCAAUAGUCUUUUUGUGUGUUAUAUGCAAAACAGUCUUAAUGAUUGCAGAGUUUUAUAAAGUUUUGUUG